UUAGAGUUUGAUCCUGGCUCAGGAUGAACGCUAGCGACAGGCCUAACACAUGCAAGUCGAGGGGUAACAGGGGCUUCGGCCCGCUGACGACCGGCGCACGGGUGAGUAACGCGUAUGCAACCUGCCUGUAACAGCGGGAUAGCUCCCUGAAAGGGGAAUUAACACCGCAUAAGACCACGCUCUCGCAUGGGGACGGGGUAAAAUAUUUAUAGGUUACAGAUGGGCAUGCGUGACAUUAGUUAGUUGGUGAGGUAACGGCUCACCAAGACUGCGAUGUCUAGGGGUUCUGAGAGGAAGGUCCCCCACACUGGAACUGAGACACGGUCCAGACUCCUACGGGAGGCAGCAGUGAGGAAUAUUGGUCAAUGGACGCAAGUCUGAACCAGCCAUGUCGCGUGCAGGAUGACUGCCCUAUGGGUUGUAAACUGCUUUUAUAUUGGAAGAAUUGCGCUUACGAGUUAAGCGUUUGACGGUACAUUAUGAAUAAGGAUCGGCUAACUCCGUGCCAGCAGCCGCGGUAAUACGUAGGUGGCAAGCGUUAUCCGGAAUUACUGGGUGUAAAGGGCGCGCAGGCGGCCCUGCAAGUCGGAUGUGAAAGAUCAAGGCUCAACCUUGACAGGCCAUUCGAAACUGUGGGACUUGAGUGUCAGAGGGGAAAGUGGAAUUCCUAGUGGAGCGGUAAAAUGCGCAGAUAUUAGGAGGAACACCGGUGGCGAAGGCGACUUUCUGGCUGACAACUGACGCUGAGGCGCGAAAGCGUGGGGAGCAAACAAAAGUAGAUACCCUGGUAGUCCACGCCGUAAACGAUGAUUACUAGGUGUAGGGGGUAUCGACUCCCUCUGUGCCACAGUUAACGCAUUAAGUAAUCCACCUGGGGAGUACGGCCGCAAGGUUAAAACUCAAAGGAAUUGACGGGGGCCCGCACAAGCAGUGGAGUAUGUGGAUUAAUUCGAGGCAACGCGAAGAACCUUACCAGGGCUUGACAUCUCCUGAGGACACAAGAGAUUGUGUUGUCCCUUCGGGGCAGGAAGACAGGUGGUGCAUGGUUGUCGUCAGCUCGUGUCGUGAGAUGUUCGGUUAAGUCCGGCAACGAGCGCAACCCCUGUGGCCAGUUGCCAUCAUUCAGUUGGGCACUCUGGCAAGACCGCCGUUAACAAAACGGAGGAAGGUGGGGAGGACGUCAAAUCAUCAUGCCCCUUAUGUCUUGGGCUUCACACGUACUACAAUGGUAGCAACAGAGGGCAGCCACACCGCGAGGUGGAGCGAAUCCCAAAAUGUUAUCUCAGUUCGGAUUGCAGGCUGAAACUCGCCUGCAUGAAGCAGGAAUUGCUAGUAAUGGCAGGUCAGCAUACUGCCGUGAAUAAGUUCCCGGGCCUUGCACUCACCGCCCGUCAAG
rnacentral:rRNA from 1 species